CCAACAGGGAUUGCCCUAGUAACGGCGAGUGAAGCGGCAACAGCUCAAAUUUGAAAUCUGGCGUCUUUGGCGUCCGAGUUGUAAUUUGCAGAGGGCGCUUUGGCAUUGGCAGCGGUCCAAGUUCCUUGGAACAGGACGUCACAGAGGGUGAGAAUCCCGUACGUGGUCGCUAGCCUUUACCGUGUAAAGCCCCUUCGACGAGUCGAGUUGUUUGGGAAUGCAGCUCUAAAUGGGAGGUAAAUUUCUUCUAAAGCUAAAUACUGGCCAGAGACCGAUAGCGCACAAGUAGAGUGAUCGAAAGAUGAAAAGCACUUUGGAAAGAGAGUUAAAAAGCACGUGAAAUUGUUGAAAGGGAAGCGCUUGCAGCCAGACUUGCCUGUAGUUGCUCAUCCGGGUUUUUACCCGGUGCACUCUUCUACGGGCAGGCCAGCAUCAGUUUGGGCGGUUGGAUAAAGGUCUCUGUCAUGUACCUCCUCUCGGGGAGAUCUUAUAGGGGAGACGACAUGCAACCAGCCUGGACUGAGGUCCGCGCAUCUGCUAGGAUGCUGGCGUAAUGGCUGUAAGCGGCCCGUCUUGAAACACGGACCAAGGAGUCUAACAUCUAUGCGAGUGUUUGGGUGUCAAGCCCGAACGCGUAAUGAAAGUGAACGGAGGUGGGAACCUUUCGGGGUGCACCAUCGACCGAUCCUGAUGUCUUCGGAUGGAUUUGAGUAAGAGCAUAGCUGUUGGGACCCGAAAGAUGGUGAACUAUGCUUGAAUAGGGUGAAGCCAGAGGAAACUCUGGUGGAGGCUCGCAGCGGUUCUGACGUGCAAAUCGAUCGUCAAAUUUGGGCAUAGGGGCGAAAGACUAAUCGA
rnacentral:rRNA from 3 species